UACACACCGCCCGUCACACCAUGGGAGUUGGUUUUACCCGAAGACGGUGCGCUAACCAGCAAUGGAGGCAGCCGGCCACGGUAGGGUCAGCGACUGGGGUG
rnacentral:rRNA from 1 species